rnacentral:rRNA from 1 species
AUGAAAAGUUCCCUAAGAAAACUAGUACAGAUGAAUCCAAAGGAGAAAUGCUUAUUGAUUGUAACCAUAUGGAUCAAGCAACCAAUAUGGGGGGUGGAACAUGUAUGUACUGAAAUCGUCCAAAAGAAUCCUUCAGAAAUCGUAGUACAUUGUCAUUGUAAACUUGGAAAAAGGUGUCACAAAUUGAAAUCCAUUAUGGUUAACAUUUAUAAGGAAAGUAACAUCACCUCGAUAUAUAGCUUCUCCAGGCAUGGAAAGCAUCUCAGGAAACUGACAACUUGCCCCAGGUUGGGGCCGAUAGAUUCUAGUGCCAAGACCUUCACUGUGCGCAGUUUCGGGGUCAAGCUUGUCGGAAUCAUUUUCUGA